ACGAACGCUGGCGGCGUGCUUCACCCAUGCAAGUCGAACGGUGAAGCGCCUUCCUUUUUGGUGGGUGUGGAUGAGUGGCGAACGGGUGAGUAACACGUGAGUAACCUGCCCCCUUCUUCUGGAUAACCGCAUGAAAGUGUGGCUAAUACGGGAUAUUCUGGGUCUGUCGCAUGAUGGGUCUGGGAAAGAUAUUGUUUCGGUGGGGGAUGGGCUCGCGGCCUAUCAGCUUGUUGGUGGGGUGAUGGCCUACCAAGGCGGUGACGGGUAGCCGGCCUGAGAGGGUGGACGGUCACACAGGGACUGAGACACGGCCCAGACUCCUACGGGAGGCAGCAGUGGGGAAUAUUGCACAAUGGGCGCAAGCCUGAUGCAGCGACGCCGCGUGAGGGAUGGAGGCCUUCGGGUUGUGAACCUCUUUCGCCAGUGAAGCAGGCCUGCCUCGUUUGUGGGUGGGUUGACGGUAGCUGGAUAAGAAGCGCCGGCUAACUACGUG
rnacentral:rRNA from 1 species